AUACGGAGGAUCCGAGCGUUAUCCGGAUUUAUUGGGUUUAGAGGGAGCGUAGGUGGAUUGUUAAGUCAGUUGUGAAAGUUUGCGGCUCAACCGUAAAAUUGCAGUUGAAACUGGCAGUCUUGAGUACAGUAGAGGUGGGCGGAAUUCGUGGUGUAGCGGUGAAAUGCUUAGAUAUCACGAAGAACUCCGAUUGCGAAGGCAGCUCACUGGACUGCAACUGACACUGAGGCUCGAAAGUGUGGGUAUCAAACAGGAUUAGAUACCCUGGUAGUCCACACAGUAAACGAUGAAUACUCGCUGUUUGCGAUAUACAGCAAGCGGCCAAGCGAAAGCAUUAAGUAUUCCACCUGGGGAGUACGCCGGCAACGGUGAAACUCAAAGGAAUUGACGGGG
rnacentral:rRNA from 1 species